UGGGGAAUUUUGGACAAUGGGGGCAACCCUGAUCCAGCCAUGCCGCGUGAGUGAAGAAGGCCUUAGGGUUGUAAAACUCUUUCGUCGGGGACGAUAAUGACGGUACCCGAAGAAGAAGCUCCGGCUAACUUCGUGCCAGCAGCCGCGGUAAUACGAAGGGGGCUAGCGUUGUUCUGAUUUACUGGGCGUAAAGCGCGUGUAGGCGGAUUUGUAAGUUGGGGGUGAAAUCCCGAGGCUCAACCUCGGAACUGCCUCCAAAACUACAAGUCUGGACCUAAGUAGAGGCAAGUGGAAUUGCGAGUGUAGAGGUGAAAUUCGUAGAUAUUCGCAGGAACACCAGUGGCGAAGGCGGCCCACUGGCUCGAUACUGACGCUGAGGUGCGAAAGCGUGGGGAGCAAACAGGAUUAGAUACCCACGUAGUCCCUGAGCGGGCUGGCAAGGCGCAU
rnacentral:rRNA from 1 species